rnacentral:lncRNA from 1 species
AGAUAAAAAAAUGUGACAAGUAAUACUGUUUUAGGCCAAGGGGAGAUUUUUUAUUUUUUUUUCAGUCAAUAGCAUAUAGUGACUUUAUGCACUAUUUGUAUUUUAAAUGUCAAUAUAUGUAAGCUCAAAUCGCAUGCAUUAUUGUACAUUAAUCUAGGACUCAGGAUGUAUGUCAAUAUAUGUAGCGUAAAUCAUAUACUUGUAAAAAUUAUAUGUAAUUUCUUCUUUUUGUUGUUGUUGCUUUUGAUGGAAAUUGGAGUACACAUUAUCCUCCUCAAGAUUUACGUACACAUUAUCCUCCGCAGAACCUCACCCGUAGAAUUACAUUGAGCAUGAUUUGUUGCUUUUGAUGAAACUUAUAUUUGGCACACAUAUGUAGGUCAACUCAGAUUGGUGUCACUUUCAAGAUGUUAAGGAAUUGAUCAGUUUCUAAAACUGAAAUAAGAAGGUAUACUUCCAAAUUCAUCCCACUGUAUAAUUGGACACUAACAGCAAAUAUAAAUAUGGUCAAUAUGAUAUCGAGGUAACAUCGCGCACCAAAACUUAGACAUAUGAAAAGAUAUCCUUUAACAUUCUCGUCUCUGGUGAGAUUUGAACCCUGAUCUAUGUUGGUAUUCAUCUGAAGUGGUCAGUAGACCACAUCUUUAAUAGUAGAGGAGGUUAUAGUACCACCACAAAAAUGGGAUAAGAUAACUCUUCACAACAGAGCCACAUAGGCCUAAGCUGUAGCUAAGGUGCAUUUCAAAGGCAACAGAGCUAACAACUGGUAAGGUUGAAAGUGAUGGAAUCAACAACCAACACUGAAAAUUGAUGGAUAAACUUGCAUAAACCAUGUAUAUAUAGUGAAUUAUCAAGCUACAUAAUGAAGUGGGUUGAGAACCGUCACGUCUCAUCACCCAUCCACAUAACAAGUCUUGUUUUAGCACUUUCCAGACAAAAAUACAGUUAAAAUACUGAGGUGUGAAUCAACAAAACAACCAGCCCCAAUCCACAUUGAAAAGAGGACCAAAUCAGAGAUUUGCAGGUGUCUAUGUUAACAAGCUGAUGGUAAUAACCCACGACGGCUGGUUGCGAAAACAUCCCUUUUAAACCCAUGGCAACCUAUAAAGCAGAGGUAUUAUGGGGAAAGAGACACAACAAGCACCGUUUUCUUUACUGUCCAAUUACAGAUCAAAUUUGGCAAUUGUUUUGGAACUUUCUGGGAGUCCAAUGGUCCUGCCACACAACACUGCUGAUAUUUUGAGAAGCUGGAUCAGGGCAGGUUCAGACAGAAGAAAGAUAACAUGGUGGAACACUAUACAAGUUUGUAGAUGGACAGUUGGGAAAGAGAGGAACUUGAGAUGCUUUAAAGAUAAGAACAAUCACAUCCAGAAGAUAAAACGCUAACAACAUUUUUUGUUUUACUUUUGGUGUAGCAUCGAACUUUCAGAUAAAGCUUCAAUCUAUCUUAGAGCUCCUAGAAUUCCUAUAGAUUUAGACAGGGCUAUACUUAAGUCUUCACACUUUUGCACAAUGUACACUGCACAUUCUUGGUGCUGUUUAUGAAAACAAACCUACCAUUUCAUAAGAAAAACAUCACCUAAAGAAACUAGAGUAGCAAGUUCAUAGCAAUUGAGAGUGUACUACCAAAUUAGGGAUUAUCUUUCUAGUUUUUUCCACUGCAACGCAACUAAUUGUAGGAAGGGACAUCAGUUAUUAAUCAAACCAGAAAGAAAACUAUGAAAAAUGUUGCCAUGUGUUACAAUAGCAACAACCCUGCUUCACAGUGAUAUAGCUCCAACACUUUAUAAAGACGAAACAAUCCAUAAAGUGUUUAAGCAAUUCAAUCAUUCGACGAAAACACAUUAUUACAAACAGAUUCAGCAACUCUUUAAGCAAUUACAUCACAAGGGUAAAACUACAAAACCAUUGUAAAUCAAACUCCUGGAAUUGAGAAAGAAGAAAUCAAUAAAGUGUUUAAGCAAUUCAAUCAUUCGACGAAAACACAUUAUUACAAACAGAUUCAGCAACUCUUUAAGCAAUUACAUCACAAGGGUAAAACUACAAAACCAUUGUAAAUCAAACUCCUGGAAUUGAGAAAGAAGAAAUCAAUAAAGUGUUUAAGCAAUUCAAUCAUUCGACGAAAACACAUUAUUACAUACAGAUUCGGCAACUCUUUUAAGCAAUUACAUCACAAGGGAAAAACUACAAAACCAUUGUAAUCAGAUUCAUGGAAAUGAGAAAGAAGCACUAGUACAAGUAUGUCAACUAUCUCCAGCUUAGCAAACAAACAUAUUAUCAGCACCAUAAUAGUGUAAUCUAUUAUCUGAUUAAGAUAAAAAAGUUAACUAAUAAUCCAACAUAACCAAAGAACUAUCAAAACUGUAAAUUCCAUAGCUUGAUCAGCACAAAACCAAAAAGACUAAAACUUAUUGAAGAUCAAGCUAAGGGUUUACGCUUUUCGUCCGUAUCGAAGAUAGCAAAUAGCGCCAACCACUGCAACUGCAACAACAGAUGAUGCAGCAACCACUGGCAAAUUUACAUCACCGCCAAGGAAACCAACUUGAUCAUCACCAACAGGAAUGCCAUUAAUAUUGCUAGCAACAAAUCUUUCAGCAAUAACCCUUUCCUUCUCCAUCAAUUUCUUCUCCAACUCUGCAGCUUUCUCAAUCAUCUCCUUAACCCUCUUCUCUAAUUCCUCCUUCACCAAAUGAAGCUCCUUCUUCUCCUCUUCCCAUUCCUCAUUGUUCACAACAGUACCCUUCAAUUCCUCAAUAUGCUUCUUUAAAACCCUAAUUUCUUCUUCCUUCCCUUCAACUUCUUCUUUCUGAUUGUUUCCACUAGCUUCUAACUUCUCCAAUUUUGACAACAACAGAUUCUUUUCACUCUCAACAGCCUCCAGCUUCACACUCUUCUCAUUUUCAGUACUCUUCAAUCCCUCCAAUGCCGAUUUCACCCCUGAUAACUCAGAAUUAGAACCUUGUAGAUCAUUCAUAGCAGUGAUGAGAUCAUGUUGCAGUUGAGAUACCUCCCCUUCCAGCUGAGAAGCUCUAGCGGCUACUGAUCCUAAAGCCUUGUUCUCCGACUCGAAAUUCUCCACCUUCUUCAACAACUCAUCCUUUUCGCUCUGAGAUUCCUCGAUUGAACUCUUGAGCUUCUCGAUUCUCUGUUUGAUCACAUCGUUCUCGUGAAGAAGCUGAGUUUUCUCUUGCUCAAGCGCCGCUAUCUUCUGUUUCAGUGCAGAAGUUUUCGACGCAGCAUCGGUAGUUUCGUCAACGGCGAUCUCCACCGGCGCGUCGUCGAAAACCUCGCCAUUGGUAACGGUAUCAUCCGCCAUAAUCAAACCUGAAAAUAAUCAGACAAACAGUAAACGGAUUAAUCAAAAAAACUGAGCUUCAAUGAACUCCAAGCAGCCAAAAUUAGGGUUUUUGAUUGUAGAAAAUGAGAAUAAUUAGAAAAGAUAUCUUUUUGUGGAAUAUAAAAUCUUGUCGGAAAAGAAAAAGAAGAAUAAAAUGAAAUCUCACUUUUCGG